CUUAUUUCGCUGCUGCUCUUCUCUCUCUUUCAUGUUGAGUUUCUUGGUUCAAACAUGGCCCCUCCCACCGACAGUCAGAGUUAGAAUCAAAUAUGGGUCCAUUCCAUGAAAUCAAUACUAGCGCUCAAUCUUCUACUCGGAUUGAAACUUGCUCCUUGAUAAAUGAAAUCAUGAAAUUAGAAGCUGGGUUCGAUGAAGUUGAUUGGUUUUGGAUUCCCAGACAUCUGAAUCACGGUGCUCAUGUAGCGGUAGGGAUUGAUUUGAGGACGGUGGAGCUGCAAAAGUUGAGCUGGGUUGGGGAACAUGUUGCUGGGCUUGUGUUUUCGGCUUUAGCUUGAUUCCUUCCUAGUGUUUUUUUUUUCUUUCUAUUUUUUUAUUUUCCUUCUACACUCGUUGGCUGUUUUUCUCCCACCGCAUUUUUCAGGCUUUCUUGAUCUACAUAUUUAAAAAAUGAAAUUGAAAAGAAUAAUUGUUCGUAGGACAACAAUUUGAUGUAUUUAAUUGUAAAUGGGUUAAGGUU